rnacentral:rRNA from 1 species
GACGAACGCUGGCGGCGUGCUUAACACAUGCAAGUCGAACGAAAAGAGGGAAAGAGCUUGCUCUUUCCGGAAUUGAGUGGCAAACGGGUGAGUAACACGUAAACAACCUGCCUUCAGGAUGGGGACAACAGACGGAAACGACUGCUAAUACCGAAUAAGUUCCAAGGGCCGCAUGGCCCAUGGAAGAAAAGGUGGCCUCUACCUGUAAGCUAUCGCCUGAAGAGGGGUUUGCGUCUGAUUAGCUGGUUGGAGGGGUAACGGCCCACCAAGGCGACGAUCAGUAGCCGGUCUGAGAGGAUGACCGGCCACACUGGAACUGAGACACGGUCCAGACUCCUACGGGAGGCAGCAGUGGGGAAUCUUCCGCAAUGGGCGAAAGCCUGACGGAGCAACGCCGCGUGAGUGAUGACGGCCUUCGGGUUGUAAAACUCUGUGAUCCGGGACGAAAAGGCAGAGUGCGAAGAACAAACUGCAUUGACGGUACCGGAAAAGCAAGCCACGGCUAACUACGUG